UGUGUGUGUGUGUGUGUCACCUCAUUGUUGGGGUCCUGGAUGACUCUGUAGAGACCUUGCACCAGGGACUUCUUCAGAUGAAGGCUGCCGGCGUAGCUGGGGAUCUGGGUUUCUGGCAAACAAUUCAAUGACAUGAGGAAUAACACGGAACAGAGGGGAGCCUUUACCUUGAAUUCUGAGAGCCAUUCUUCUACAACACCGCGCUCUGAACCCAGCAUCUUCCUCAGAGACCCCCGCCGGCUGCCUGCAGCGGGAACACAGAGAUGGGAGAUUGAGAUAUAGUGGAUGAAAAGGAGAGCAGGGAACAUGGAAACCUUGAGCACAGCAUGUACAGGUCUGGUUUUGAUAAGUUAUUUGAUUCUAUAAAAAUGGGGUGAAACAUCAUGGUUGACAGCUGAGACUGACUCGUGACUGAUCGAGUGCAAAUAUAUCGAAAGGGCAUCGCCACAGCAGCUCCAUCUCAAAUUAAUACGAUUAGAAAUUAUUGUAUUUUUUACUUUACUAUGACAGAAAGCUCAAGUAUCAGAAUUUUGUGUGCCAGUUUUCAUAUUCAUAAUGUAUCAAAGGAGAUGAGAUAUGAGAUAAGGCAGUGUUUAGUUUCUUGAGACAUAUUAUGAUCUGGGGCUGCAGGCACACAGUCAUCCUUGGCCCUGUUCUCUGUAUCCAGCAGCUAAAAUUAUCUUCAACAAACUGCCCAAAAUAACAAGUUCUCCU